rnacentral:rRNA from 1 species
UACGGAGGGUGCAAGCGUUGCUCGGAAUUAUUGGGCGUAAAGGGUAGGUAGGUGGUCUCAUUUGUCUGGGGUGAAAGCCUUGAGCUUAACUCAAGAAGUGCCCCAGAAACGGUGAGACUGGAGUCCUGGAGAGGGUCGUGGAAUUCCCGGUGUAGCGGUGAAAUGCGUAGAGAUCGGGAGGAACACCAGAGGCGAAGGCGGCGACCUGGACAGGUACUGACACUGAGGCGCGAAAGCGUGGGGAGCGAACAGG